UGCUUAUCUACUUGCCAAUUAGUGGGGGAUUAAAUACCGCAUACUCUGACUUCGGUCAGGAAAGGGUUCCGCAAGGGCCCGCUAAUUGAGAGGGAUAAGGCGUAUUAGCUAGUUGGUGGGGUAAUGGCCUACCAAGGUAAUGAUGCGUAGCCGGCCUAAGAGGGUGAACGGCCACAAGGGAACUGAGACACGGUCCCUACUCCUACGGGAGGCAGAAGGAGGAAACAUUUCGCAAUGGACGCAAGUCUAACGGAGUGAUACUACGUGAAGGACGAAGGUCUACGGAUUGUAAACUUCUUUACUAGUAGGUACUGCUUUCGGGCUUGCCUGCUAGCAAAAAGUCACGACUAACUAUGUGCCAGCAGUCGCGGUAAGACAUAGGUGGCAAACGUUAUCCGGAAUUACUGGGCGUAAAGGGUGCGUAGGUGGUUUAAUAAGUUACUGGUGGGAAAUCGGGGCCCAACCCCGUGGAAGUCAGUAAUACUAUUAAACUAGAGGGCCGGAGAGGUUAACGGAAUUCUAUGUGUAGCGGUAAAAUGCUCAAAUAUAUAGAGGAACACCAAUUGGCGAAGGCAGUUAACUAUUCGGCGCCUGACGUUGAGGCACGAAAGCGUGGGGAGCAAGACGGAUUAGAUACCCGAGUAGUCCACGCCCUAAACGAUGAGUACUAGAUAUUGGGAACUUGAUUUUCAGUGUCGCAAGAUAACUCGGUAAGUACUCCGCCUGGGUAGUACGGUCGCAAGGCUAAAACUCAAAGGAAUUGACGGGAACUCACACAAGCAGUGGAGCAUGUGGUUUAAUCCGAUAUGACGCGUAGAACCUUACCGGGGCUUGACAUGUUCGGCAAAACUAGGGAAACCUAGCGGAGGUUAUCCGGACACAGGUGUUGCAUGGCCAUCGUCAGUUCGUGUUGUGAGAUGUAUGGUUUAGUCCUAUUAACGAACGAAACCCUUGUGCUUAGUUGCUAACAGGUAAGGCUGAGGACUCUAAGCAGACUGCCAAGGCAACUUGGAGGAAGGCGAGGAUCACGUCUGGUCGUC
rnacentral:rRNA from 1 species